rnacentral:rRNA from 1 species
UACGUAGGGUGCGAGCGUUAAUCGGAAUUACUGGGCGUAAAGCGUGCGUAGGUGGUUCGUUGUGUCUGUGGUGAAAGCCCCGGGCUUAACCUGGGAAUGGCCAUGGAAACUGGCGAGCUGGAGUCUGGCAGAGGGGGGUGGAAUUCCGCGUGUAGCAGUGAAAUGCGUAGAGAUGCGGAGGAACACCGAUGGCGAAGGCAGCCCCCUGGGCUAAGACUGACGCUGAGGCACGGAAGCGUGGGGAGCAAACAGG